CUACGGGGUGCUGCAGUGGGGAAUAUUGCACAAUGGACGAAGGUCUGAUGCAGCAACGCCGCGUGGAGGAUGACACAUUUCGGUGCGUAAACUCCUUUUAUAUCCCAAGAUAAUGACGGUAGGAUAUGAAUAAGCGCCGGCUAACUCCGUGCCAGCAGCCGCGGUAAUACGGAGGGCGCAAGCGUUACUCGGAAUCACUGGGCGUAAAGAGCGUGUAGGCGGAUAGAUAAGUUGGGAGUGAAAUCCUAUGGCUUAACCAUAGAAUUGCUUCGAAAACUGUCUAUCUAGAAUAUGGGAGAGGUAGAGGGAAUUUAUGGUGUAGGGGUAAAAUCCGUAGAGAUCAGAAGGAAUACCGAUUGCGAAGGCGAUCUACUGGAACAUUAUUGACGCUGAGACGCGAAAGCGUGGGGAGCAAACAGGAUUAGAUACCCCCGUAGUC
rnacentral:rRNA from 1 species